AUGAUGGAUCUGAUAACUAUUGACAACGUCCAAUUUAUCAAUGUGUAUCAUGUUCAUAAAACGAAUUCAUGAUAUCUAAUGAACCAAAUCACAAGAUACACACAAAUAAUCGGAUUACUAACUUUUUCUUUUUUUUUUACCCAGAAGCCCCUCCCCUCUUGAGGUCAACAGCUCCUGGAUGUAAAUCGAGGCACUUUGUCGAAAGUGUGUCGCACUUUUACUUUGUCGAAACGUCGCCUGGCUUCGACAAAAAAAGAUCUAACGUGGCACCGUCCGAGACCGAGUCACAGCACAGCAGCGCCCCCAGCGGAAGCGGGAGGUUUCAUCGAGCUGACGUCGACUCCGUCUUCACGGACGGACCCUGGUGUUUGGAGCAGAUGACAGCAACUUUGACGGACGGACCCUGGUGUUUGGAGCAGAUGACAGCAACUUUGACGCAAAUCACUGAGGUCUAUGUCCAUCUUUCGCCGCUGUUGAACUACGUCACAUCUUUUCGUCAGCCAAUCGGUGUGUCCGCUCUCCAUCUGCUGACACCCAAUCACCGUGGCCCCGCUACGGAGUCACAGAAGCACUCGAAAUUCGAAAUUCGAAGUUGUCGAUUACCUCUUCAAAUCUGGACGACAAGACAUUUGAAUAUCAUCGAAAGGUAAGAUGUCAGCUAAGUUGUUUAAUUUUAUCGGGUUGCGAGUGACGUAGCUAGCUAGAACGUAUGUAUUACACACAAAAAACGACUAUAACGGGUUAAAAAACUUUUAAAUACGUUGUGAAUUAUGAAUUUUUAAAUUCACUAAUUUAUCAAUUCAUUCAUAACUGUAGUGGCCAUUACAGUCUUUAUCAGCGUCAGUUACAGUUUUGCAGUAUUAAGAUAAAAGUGACUGUCAUUACUUGCUGUCACUGUAAUUUGAUGGAUAAAAUCUUGGCGAAAAUGGCUCCUAUACUGUCUGUGCCCAUCCCCCAACCGGUCCCUCUUAUUUAAGAGGUUCAGUAAGAUAGCUUUCCUCGUACUGCUAUAAAUAAUUUUCUUUUUGUGGUUUUUAUCAAUUAAUGAUUGAUUAUAAAGUUUUAUAAACUUGUAUGUUUUGUCAUGGCAUAAUAACAUAUUUUACAUUGAGCACAAAUGUGUAAAAUUUACCUAAUUUACAAAUUUUUAUUUUUUUUUAUCGUCAGAUGGCUUCAAAAGACAAAAAGCACAGGUCUAUGGGUGAUGAGGAGUGGAUGUCCCACCUGCGACGGUUCGCUGCUGUUGGGGUCUGGCCCUCUGAUGCAGGAAACAGGCCGGCACCAUGUCAGAAAAAGUGGCAUGAUCUGUAUCUGAAGGUAUACUUGAAGAAAGUGAUAUGUGUACAAUAAUUAAACCUAGAGCCAUGCCAUAAUCCUGCAGCUGAGCUCACUGUCAAACAAUAUUACAGAUUGAGAAAUGCGCGAUGCAGCGGAGGGGACAAAUGUCUCUGUUUGGAGGGACACAGACAUGCAGCUGUGGCUUCCAUACAAAGAAGGUAUGUUUUUUUUUUAUGUUGCAACAGGAAUUGUGCGCAUUAUCUUUUUUUCCUAGCACAGUGGACGAAUGAGUCAACUUUGAUGUUAAGCUCCAUUUUUUCCGUG
rnacentral:lncRNA from 1 species